rnacentral:rRNA from 1 species
AUACAUGCAAGUCGAACGCGUCUCCGUUAAUGAUUUUAGGUGCUUGCACUUGAAAGAUUUAACAUUGAGACGAGUGGCGAACUGGUGAGUAACACGUGGGUAACCUGCCCUUGAAGUAGGGGAUAACACUUGGAAACAGGUGCUAAUACCGUAUAACAACCAAAACCACCUGGUUUUGGUUUAAAAGACGGCUUCGGCUGUCACUUUAGGAUGGACCCGCGGCGUAUUAGCUUGUUGGUAAGGUAACGGCCUACCAAGGCGAUGAUACGUAGCCGACCUGAGAGGGUAAUCGGCCACAUUGGGACUGAGACACGGCCCAAACUCCUACGGGAGGCAGCAGUAGGGAAUCUUCCACAAUGGACGAAAGUCUGAUGGAGCAACGCCGCGUGAGUGAUGAAGGGUUUCGGCUCGUAAAACUCUGUUGUUGGAGAAGAACAGGUGUCAGAGUAACUGUUGACAUCUUGACGGUAUCCAACCAGAAAGCCACGGCUAACUACGUGCCAGCAGCCGCGGUAAUACGUAGGUGGCAAGCGUUGUCCGGAUUUAUUGGGCGUAAAGCGAGCGCAGGCGGUUUUUUAGGUCUGAUGUGAAAGCCUUCGGCUUAACCGGAGAAGUGCAUCGGAAACCGGGAGACUUGAGUGCAGAAGAGGACAGUGGAACUCCAUGUGUAGCGGUGAAAUGCGUAGAUAUAUGGAAGAACACCAGUGGCGAAGGCGGCUGUCUGGUCUGUAACUGACGCUGA